ensembl:misc_RNA Y_RNA Y RNA
GGAUGGUCUGAAGGUAAUGAGUUAUCCCAAUGGAUUGUUCACAGUCAGUUACAGAUUGAACUUGUUCUACUCUUUUCCCCCUUCUCACUAUUGCACUUAACAGGAAA